rnacentral:rRNA from 1 species
GAUGAACGCUGGCGGCGUGCUUAACACAUGCAAGUCGAACGAAGCAUUUAGGACAGAUUACUUCGGUUUGAAGUUCUUUAUGACUGAGUGGCGGACGGGUGAGUAACGCGUGGGUAACCUGCCUUGUACUGGGGGAUAGCAGCUGGAAACGGCUGGUAAUACCGCAUAAGCGCACAAUGUUGCAUGACAUGGUGUGAAAAACUCCGGUGGUAUAAGAUGGACCCGCGUCUGAUUAGCUAGUUGGUGAGAUAACAGCCCACCAAGGCGACGAUCAGUAGCCGACCUGAGAGGGUGACCGGCCACAUUGGGACUGAGACACGGCCCAGACUCCUACGGGAGGCAGCAGUGGGGAAUAUUGCACAAUGGAGGAAACUCUGAUGCAGCGACGCCGCGUGAGUGAAGAAGUAAUUCGUUAUGUAAAGCUCUAUCAGCAGGGAAGAUAGUGACGGUACCUGACCAAGAAGCGCCGGCUAAAUACGUG